GAUGAACGCUGGCGGCGUGCCUAAUACAUGCAAGUCGAGCGAACAGACGAGGAGCUUGCUCCUCUGACGUUAGCGGCGGACGGGUGAGUAACACGUGUAUAACCUACCUAUAAGACUGGGAUAACUUCGGGAAACCGGAGCUAAUACCGGAUAAUAUAUUGAACCGCAUGGUUCAAUAGUGAAAGACGGUUUUGCUGUCACUUAUAGAUGGAUCCGCGCCGCAUUAGCUAGUUGGUAAGGUAAAGGCUUACCAAGGCAACGAUGCGUAGCCGACCUGAGAGGGUGAUCGGCCACACUGGAACUGAGACACGGUCCAGACUCCUGCGGGAGGCACCAGUAGGCAAUCUUCCGCAAUGGGCGAAAGCCUGACGGAGCAACGCCGCGUGAGUGAUGAAGGUCUUCCGAUCGUAAAACUCUGUUAUUAGGGAAGAACAAAUGUGUAAGUAACUAUGCACGUCUUGACGGUACCUAAUCAGAAAGCCACGGCUAACUACGUG
rnacentral:rRNA from 1 species